UUUCCUACGGGAGGCUGCAGUGGGGAAUAUUGGACAAUGGGGGAAACCCUGAUCCAGCGACGCCGCGUGUGUGAAGAAGGCCUGCGGGUUGUAAAGCACUUUCGGUGGGAACGAAAUAUGUCGGGUCAAUACCCCGGCAGGCUGACGUUACCCAAUGAAGAAGCACCGGCUAACUCUGUGCCAGCAGCCGCGGUAAUACAGAGGGUGCGAGCGUUAAUCGGAAUUACUGGGCGUAAAGCGCACGUAGGCGGCUUCGUAAGUCGGGUGUGAAAUCCCCGGGCUCAACCUGGGAACUGCAUUCGAGACUGCGAUUCUUGAGUAUGGGAGAGGACAGCGGAAUUCCGGGUGUAGCGGUGAAAUGCGUAGAUAUCCGGAGGAACAUCAGUGGCGAAGGCGGCUGUCUGGCCCAAUACUGACGCUCAGGUGCGAAAGCGUGGGGAGCAAACAGGAUUAGAUACCCGUGUAGUCC
rnacentral:rRNA from 1 species